UUAUUAUUCGCUCUGUCCAACAAAAGAUGUCUCAAGUUUGUGGAAAUUUGGAUGUAUCUAGACAUAACUUAAUGUAUAGAUGCAUUCAAAUUUAGUAAAAAUUAAGACAUCCUUCAUUGGACGGAGGGAGUAGAAC
rfam:Brachypodium distachyon strain Bd21 chromosome 1, whole genome shotgun sequence.